UACGUAGGGUGCGAGCGUUGUCCGGAAUUAUUGGGCGUAAAGAGCUUGUAGGCGGUUUGUCGCGUCUGCUGUGAAAAUCCGGGGCUCAACCCCGGACUUGCAGUGGGUACGGGCAGACUAGAGUGUGGUAGGGGAGACUGGAAUUCCUGGUGUAGCGGUGAAAUGCGCAGAUAUCAGGAGGAACACCGGUGGCGAAGGCGGGUCUCUGGGCAGUAACUGACGCUGAAGAGCGAAAGCGUGGGGAGCGAACAGG
rnacentral:rRNA from 1 species